rnacentral:tRNA from 1 species
GCCCAAGUAGCUCAGUUGGUAGAGCAGGGGACUGAAAAUCCCCGUGUCGCUGGUUCGAUUCCGGCCUUGGGCA